UGCUGUUAGUGAUGAUUUUUAAAAAUACAGAUGGGAAUCUCUCUGAAAAAGACUGAAGACUUUCAAAAACUGAAACAGUU